GCUAGCGUAGCUUAAUUCAAAGCAUAACACUGAAGAUGUUAAGAUGGGCCCUGAAAAGCCCCGCAUGCA
rnacentral:tRNA from 1 species